rnacentral:tRNA from 1 species
GAGAGGAUGGCUCAGCGGUAGAGCGUGUGCUUAGCACGCACAAGGUCCUGGGCUCAACCCCCUGUUCCUCCCU